rnacentral:misc_RNA from 1 species
UUGCCUUCCCGUCGAAUGGAAAAUUUCGUGAGAUAGCCCCGCCCCUUUCCCCCUUGUGGCUUUGCGGCURCAAAGUGGACCUCGAAAGCAGUGCCUGUGUCCCGGGCAUAUCCGCUGACUGUUGUCGUGGCUGUCUCGGUCCACAGGACGACUGCUCGUGCUCUCGGAUGUGGAAAAUUAAGCGGACACGGGGGGUCUCGGCCUCCGGUUGCUCCCAAUCAAGUCCCUCGAUAGGAAUGACUUUCGAUGCCCUCAUUGAUCGCAGGCCGUCUUGGCCCGUGGCAUCAAUGCGGGUCCGAAGUCGAGAAAGGAUGCUACCUGGUUGAUCCUGCCAGUAGUCAUAUGCUUGUCUCAAAGAUUAAGCCAUGCAUGUGUAAG